CCACGAUCUGUCUGGGAUAUUCUUCUCCACCCAGACAGAGAUCAGGACGAGUAUAGUGGAUAUAAAUCUACUGAUCUAUUUUAAACAAGUGUCCGUGUAUAUUUUUCUUUUUUAAUUCUACAGGAGACAGUAUGUUGAACACCGGUGAUCCUAAUUACCACGAUCUGUCUGGGAUGUACUUCAGUACCCCAGACAGAGAUAACGACAGGGAUGUUGGUAACUGUGCUACUGCCCGUAGAGGAGGCUGGUGGUUCAACGCCUGUCACUACGCCUUCCUAAACGGUCCCUGGUCCUCGGAGUCCUGGAUCAGACCAUGGUACCCCACAGUAACGAAUGGGACGUCAGUGAAGGGGACCACCAUGAUGGUCAGACGUCACUAGACGAAAGAUCAUCCAUGGAUUACGGAAACCCCCAAGAGACGAUUUUAAAUUAAUUUUUAUCGCUGAGUUCUUUUUUUAAUAUUUAACAUCAAGUAACAAACAGUAAAAGAAGGUGGUUGAACGGCUCUGUAAAGCGAUACUGGAUGUAUUCAGUAAAAGAUGUAUUUUAUAUGUGUUGUAAUAAAUUUGAAAA